rnacentral:rRNA from 1 species
UACGUAGGGGGCAAGCGUUGUCCGGAAUCACUGGGCGUAAAGGGCGCGUAGGCGGCCUGAUAAGUAGGGGGUGAAAUCCUGCGGCUUAACCGCAGGGCUGCCUUCUAAACUGUCGGGCUAGAGCACGGUAGAGGCAGAUGGAAUUCCCGGUGUAGCGGUGGAAUGCGCAGAUAUCAGGAAGAACACCUAUGGCGAAAGCAGCUCUCUGGGACGGUACUGACGCUGAGACGCGAAAGCGUGGGGAGCGAACAGG